ACGAACGCUGGCGGCGUGCUUAACACAUGCAAGUCGCACGGAAAGGCCCUGCUUUUGUGGGGUGCUCGAGUGGCGAACGGGUGAGUAACACGUGAGUAACCUGCCCUUGACUUUGGGAUAACUUCAGGAAACUGGGGCUAAUACCGGAUAGGAGCUCCUGCUGCAUGGUGGAGGUUGGAAAGUUUCGGCGGUUGGGGAUGGACUCGCGGCUUAUCAGCUUGUUGGUGGGGUAGUGGCUUACCAAGGCUUUGACGGGUAGCCGGCCUGAGAGGGUGACCGGCCACAUUGGGACUGAGAUACGGCCCAGACUCCUACGGGAGGCAGCAGUGGGGAAUAUUGCACAAUGGGCGGAAGCCUGAUGCAGCAACGCCGCGUGCGGGAUGACGGCCUUCGGGUUGUAAACCGCUUUCGCCUGUGACGAAGCGUGAGUGACGGUAAUGGGUAAAGAAGCACCGGCUAACUACGUG
rnacentral:rRNA from 1 species